GUUAUUUUCUGUAACCCAGCUUGUUGGGUUGAUUGUUUAGGACAGCGCCCCUCCUCUCUCCCACCUGACGUGGAGUACACUACCCAGCACCUGGGUGACUUUAACACAGCUGCAUAGUUAUUUGAGAGUUUGAAAAAACAUCGUUAUUCUUACAACCGUCCAGUCCACCAGUUGUCAGCAUGCAAUGGAAAUCAGGCGAUUUCGUAAGGGGUGAUCCCCAAAACGGACGGUGGAAUCUGCCUGCCUUCAUGGAAGUAUCACAAGCUUUUUCUAGCUAUCUGUU